rnacentral:ncRNA from 1 species
UGCACAGGCUGAGACCGUUAAUUCGGGAUCCGCGGAACCUGAUCGGGUUAAUACCCGCGAAGGGAACAAGAGUAAUUUAUCG